UUGGAGGGCAAGUCUGGUGCCAGCAGCCGCGGUAAUUCCAGCUCCAAUAGCGUAUAUUAAAGUUGCUGCAGUUAAAAAGCUCGUAGUUGAAUUUCGGGACCAUCAUGUCGGUCGUGCCUCGGUACGUACUGGUAUUGUUGGUUUCUCCCUUCUGACGAACCAUGAUGUCAUUUAUUUGGUGUUGUGGGGAAUCAGGACUGUUACUUUGAAAAAAUUAGAGUGUUUAAAGCAGGCUCACGCUUGAAUACAUUAGCAUGGAAUAAUGAAAUAGGACGUUUGAUUCUAUUUUGUUGGUUUCUAGGAUCGACGUAAUGAUUAAUAGGGAUAGUUGGGGGCAUUAGUAUUCAACUGUCAGAGGUGAAAUUCUUGGAUUUAUUGAAGACUAACUACUGCGAAAGCAUUUGCCAAGGAUGUUUUCAUUAAUCAAGAACGAAAGUUAGGGGAUCGAAGACGAUCAGAUACCGUCGUAGUCUUAACCAUAAACUAUGCCGACUAGGGAUCGGAUGAUGUUAAUUUUUUAAUGACUCAUUCGGCGCCUUACGGGAAAC
rnacentral:rRNA from 1 species